CUCUGCCUCACUGUGUGGAACAGAUUGGAGACACUAAUUCUUCUCAGGAACACACGUCACAGUUUGUGCCGUGUUUGAUUAAUGAAAAAUACUAUUACCCGUUUUGCUGAAUAUAUAUAUAUAUAUUGCUUUAUGUAUCUAUUUAGAAUAUUUAGUUGUACAGGGAGCAGACGGCUAUGUUUACCCCAGCAGUUUGCUUUCAUCAGCUGUAUGUUCAGCCAUCCUUAAGGCACCACCAUGGGCUGGGGGGGCAAAGAGAGGGAGCGAGAGAGAGAGAGAUGGAGGGAGGAAGGAGGGGGGAAAGCUGCAGGCAUUACUGAAUUACAGAAUCCACAGAGAGAGAGAGAGAGAGAGAGACACACACACACAGUUACAGAGAGAGAGAAAGAAGCGAUCUCAAAACAGCAUCACUCUCUGCUAGACAGUGAACAGAAUAGAGAAGAGAACAGAACAGCGUGAUCGCACAAGCAUUAGACAGAAAGACAAAGAUAUGAGGUUGAUUAGACAGCAGUGAAAUUACCUGAGGGCAAAAUAGAAGAGUGGGGAAAAAAAAGAGUGUGGCUUUUAAUCCUCUUGGCAUGCGAGUGUAUUCCUGGCUUUUUGGCAACUGAGUGUGUGAGUGGUCACCCUGUGUGUGAGUGUGUGCUGCAGAGUUUGUCAGUGGUGUUGGGACGCUUUGGACUGGAAUGUAUCUGAGUUAACCGCUGGGGGCUUUUGGGAAGACACAAUGCUGGGAAAGGAUUAUAUGCUCGCCAUCAUCAUCGUCAACUAUGACGAUGACAUCUGGAAUGAUCAGAGUCUGGCGAUGGACUCAGAUCUGCCUCCUGGAUGGCGCACCAUACGUGACAGCACUGGCACCUAUUACUGGCACGUGCCCACGGGCGCAACACAGUGGCAGCACCCCUCCUACAGUGCAGAGGAGGAACAAAACACCAUUAACGGCAUCACUGCCAGCCAGAUCAAGACUGCAGCAGAUGGCAGACGGGAAUCAAGAGGCAGACUGACUGAAAACCCUCUGCCGUCUCUGAGCGAAAGGCCCUCCUGGCAGGAAGAGUAUUUCUGUGCCAACAUGGAUCCAGACUCCAAGUGUUUCGCUGUGCGCUCACUCGGCUGGGUUGAGAUCCCUGAGGAGGAACUGACCCCUGGAAAAAGUAGUCUGGCGGUGAACAACUGCAUCCAGCAGCUCUCUCACAGCAAAGCAGAGGGCCGGGACGCAGUGGGCGCCUGGGGAGAGGGUCAGGAUAUGAUGAUGGUCCUCAAGAAGGACACUCUCAGUCUAAUGGACCCUGUGGACCGCAGCCUCAUCCACUGUCAGCCCAUAAUCAACAUCCGUGUAUGGGGGGUGGGCUGCAACAAUGGCAGAGACAGGGACUUUGCCUUUGUGGCCAGUGAUAAAGACACCUGCAUGCUCAAGUGCCAUGUGUUUCGCUGCAACGCUCCAGCCAAGACCAUUGCAUCUGCCCUGCAUGAGAUGUGCUCCAAGAUCAUGUCAGAGAAGGCCGCACUGCAGCCCUCUAUGGCCCGUUCUCUCACCAUGGAGAGUAUCUCCCCAGAGGACUUCCCCCGUCAGGUUGACUUCCUGGAAUCAGUGAGGCAAAGGGUGCAGAAGUUUGAGGUGGAGUACAUUGGAAACCUGCCUGUAUCCAGAGCAAUGGGAAUGGAAGUGUUGAACAGAGCUAUCGAGAGCAUCAUGCACUCCAGAGACAGAGAUGAGUGGGAGCCGAUAGUCAUCCAUGUGUCUGAUACAGUUAUGUCUUUGUGGAGAGGAGAGGAUGGAGAUGAUCCAUUUUGGGAAAGCCAAGUACGUUACUUGACUUUCCUAGGUGUGGGUCAUGACACACACACUUUCGCAGUCAUAGUGGAUGCAGGAACCCAGCGCUUCGAGUGCCAUGUGUUUUGGUGUGAGCCCGAUGCUGGGAUCCUCUCUGAGGCAGUUCAGGCUGCAUGCAUGGUCCAAUACCAAAAGUGUUUGGUUGCACAAACUCCUCCUGUGAGGUCCAAAAUGUGGCGGGCAGGCUCCAAAGUCAAACGAGCCAACUCCAUGGAUAGCUCCAGCUUCCCGCCUCGGCACCAGGGACACACACCUUCUAAAAUGGCUUCUCCCGGCGUGAAGAAGGGCAUGCUGGCAUUUUUUGAGACAUUCCGGAAUAAACAUUCAGCAGUAUCCACACCCUAACAACAGCAACUCGGUGAGGGGGUUUGAGGAGGGAGAUAUGAGGAGAUGGAGAGAUGGAAGGAGUAAAUUAAACAUUAAGCCUAAAAAAGUUGAAGGAAUAUCAAGAUGCAGAUGAGGAGAUAUCAGUGACCCCAAACAGAGACAUUGCUUGUCAUCAUAACCCUUCCGGUUUGUGGAGUCCUCAGUUCAGUACCACCGUUGCAUGAUUUUGCACUUGCUUGGAAAUUCGAGGCUUCGCUUGGGUACUUGAAAACACAAGCAGAGUGCGUUGGAGAUUUGAGAACUAGCCAAGUAUGUACUUGGAUACUUUUAACACAGUAAAGGUGCAGUCACAUUUGAGCAAAUCUUCACAAGCAAAAUCCAGUCAUCUCAACAGGAAUCCUAACAACUGGGAAUUUUGUGUAAGGAUUCAAGUGUUGUGGAUUCACUACUUGGUUUGAAAGUGACUUUUGUGUGAGCUAUAUAUUACUGCUACACCUUUGAAAAUGGACAAUUCCCUUUUUGCCUGUGAAAUUUUGCUUAUGUGACUAUACCUUAAAAACAUUACACGAUUUACUCCCAAAGGCAGUGUAAAUCUUGAUGAUGAAGAACCCACGGGAAAAACUCUUGAGCCAAUAUAUUUGCAUUCAUGUGAUUGUAAUGAGCUCUUUUUAAAGCACUUGACCUCAGUGCAUGUUGAUCUGAGACGCCCACAGGCACUUAAGCACCCACACGAAUGCCAUUGAAGGAAGUUAUGUGAUGCUAUAUCUAAUAUAUGCAACUGCUCCUUCCCUUCCCUUACUUACAAAAAAAAAAAAACAAGAAGAAGAAGAAAACAUAUUAUAUCACAAAUGAACUCAGGUCUCCUUUAAUGCUAAAACAAAGGGGGAAGUAUAGAAGCGGAUGAGUCUUCAGCAUGUAAGAUCAUUGACAAGAAGCCUUUAGAAGAGACUUUGACUGAUAGUCUUAGAUAACGUCAUGUAGCACCUUGUGUUUCUUAAUUUUUGUCCUAUUUAUACUCUGUAAAGAAAUCUUUCUCUAUAUAUUUGCAGUAUUUCAGCACAAACUAGGAUGUCAUGUAAAUGGUUUUGUAUUAUUCUUUGUGUUUGUUAUUAUUGCUGUUAUUAAUCAGAAUGACAUGCCUGCCCGAAUCCACCGUUUGGUGGAGUGUUUUGGGACAUUAAACUGCUUGAAUCUCUGG